rnacentral:ncRNA from 1 species
CCCCCCCCCAAGGGGCCCAGGUAUCAUAUACACCGCCAAAAUAAGGAGCCUUCAGUACUAGAAGAAAAGCAGCAUUA